rnacentral:rRNA from 1 species
GACGUAGGGGGCGAGCGUUGUUCGGAAUUACUGGGCGUAAAGGGCGCGCAGGCGGCUCUGAAAGUCAGAUGUGAAAGCCCCGGGCUUAACCUGGGAACUGCAUUUGAUACUCUAGAGCUUGAGUACGGGAGAGGAGAGUGGAAUUCCCAGUGUAGAGGUGAAAUUCGUAGAUAUUGGGAAGAACACCGGUGGCGAAGGCGGCUCUCUGGACCGUAACUGACGCUGAGGCGCGAAAGCGUGGGGAGCAAACAGG